GUUUCUAUGACGACAUAGGCAGCCGAGUAGUCAGGGUCCGUGUGCUGCAGGAGAAGAGUUCCCCGCCGAAACAAUGCCAGUGUGAGAAACCCGAAAAGAACCAUGAGAAUGAUGUCACAUGAGGACAGACAAUGCCACAGGGGCCGUGCCACAAGAGCUCCCAUAGAAGGAACUGUUGCUAUACCCCAAAGAAAACAAAGGGCUCUGAAUGGAGAAAAGGAAUGUCCUCCUGAAAGAUCCAAAAUGUUUCAACAAGAGCAAUACUCCAAAAAGCCAGGCAGAAGAUGUGAAUGCAUUCAUAAAGAAGAAUUGUGCAUAAGGCUAUGAAAAUUUAUUACUGUUAUUAUUCUAUAAUAUUUAUUGUGCCAGACACACUAUAUUCUAAGAGCUCCACAUGGUUUAAUUUAAUCUUAUAACAAUAUUAUAAAGUAGGUGCUCUUAUCCUUAUUAAAGAGGAAAUGAAGUUUUAAGGAGCUUUAGUAAUUUACAAAAGGUCACACCACAAGUAAAUAAUGUUUUAUUAUUAUUAUUAUUAUUAUUUUUGAGACUGACUCUCACUCUGUUCUCCAGGCUGGAGUGCAGUGGCAUGAUCUUGGCUCACUGCAACCUCUGCCUCCUGGAUUCAAGCGAUUCUUCUGCCUCAGCCUCCCAAGUAGCUGGGAUUACAGGCACCCACCACUAUGACCAGCUUUUUUUUUUUUUUUUUAGUAAAGAUGGGAUUUUGCCAUGUUGGCCAGGCUGGUCUUGAACUCCUGACCUCAGGUGAUCCACUUGCCUCGGCCUCCCAAAGUGCUAGGAUUACAGGUGUGAGCCACCACGCCCGGCCACAAGUAAAUUAUGAAGGCAGAUUUUAAAUCCCUGUAUUGGGGUGUCGUGGCUGAGGGAGCUGUAUGUGAUGGCUGGGAGCCCUGAGUCUGGUAUCACAGUCCAGUGGCAGGAAAUCAGUGUGAUGCAUCGCUGAGCAUCAAGUACGUGUCAGAGCUGGUGCAGCUUGCUAGGGGGUUACAGAUACGUCUGCCCUUGAGGAGGUUACAUUUGAGAAGACCUGCUUAUAGAACGGGCAUGCUGGCUCAUACCUGUAAUCCCAACACUUUGGGAGGCCAAGACAGGAGGAUUGUUUGAGCCCAGGAGUUCGAGACUAGCCUGGGCAACAAAGCGAGACCCCAUCUCUAAAAUAAAUAAAUAAAAAGACAUGGUUAAAAAAAAACCUUAAUAAUAUAAGGCAGAAAAUGCUAAGGCCUGGGAGGGAUGCAAACUAUGAACGACUGGCAGAGAGCGCUGUUAGCUGAAUGUGCUUCUUGAAGAGGGAGAGCGCUUUAUGAUGAAGACAGAAUGUGAGCUGGCCGGUCAAGGAAGGGGAGCUCCUCAGCAGUGGCAAGGGGAGUGAAGAGUCUGGGAGGGAGGAAUAUCUCAGGCAAGGUAGCAGCAGCAGCAGUGCAGAAAGUAAAGGGGUCAGAAGAGGGAGAGACUGGAGUGUAUUCAAGUGUUGGUGCCCACCUGGGUUGGCUGAGCCAUUGGGUUCCUGAAGGAGUUGAGCGAUGAGGCUGAGAAGGAGACUCCAAGAAUUAAAGACCCAUCGGCAGUUUCUGGGUUCCAAGAAGAGGAAGCAAUGGAAAAAGGAAACCUUGCACUGAAGCCUCAGAUGAGGGUCAACAGGACGAGAUGAGCCAAAAGUGACUCGAAGCUUUUGGGUCCCUGUGAUUAGCGGAAUGAUCCAACAUGGGUCAGGAGGGAGGGGCGGCAGAGAAUGGAAGUUGACUUCCGAUUUAGACAAACUGCGUUUAGCAUGAAGGUGAAAAACCAAACAGGAAGUAUCCAGACCUAUAAGUUAAGGAGGCAGAUCCGGAAAUGAGAUCUGGGAGUCUCCGGCAUAAAGGGUGGCACCGAAGUCAGAAUGCGGAGAGGGUCUUCAUGGGAGUGUGUAGGGAGACCGGAAAGACACUGAGGCCUGAGCCUCAGAGAGGGAAGAAGGGGCCAGUGGAGGAAGAAGGAGCUGUCAGAAAGGCAGGAGGCCACGAGGGGAGAGAGCACACGAAGAAGAGGCAGCCGACAGCGGAAAACGUAUCUGAGGGUAAGGACAGCUGAAGGAGAAAUAACAAGGGCAAUUCACAGAGAAGAAAGGAACAGAAGUAGAUUUCAGAUUAAGAAGGAGGUAAGCCCGGAGUAGUGGCUCAUGCCUGUAAUCCGGCACUUUGGGAGGCCGAGGCAGGUGGAUCACCUGAGCUCAGGAGUUCGAGACCAGCCUGGACAACAUGGUGAAACCCCGUCUCUACCAAAAAUACAAAAAUUAGCCAGGUGUGGUGGUGCACACCUGUAAUCACAGCUACUCCAGAGGCUGAGGUACGAGAAUCAUUUGCAUAUGGGAGGCAGAGGUUGCAGUGAGAUGAGAUUGCACCACUGCACUCCAGGCUGGGCAACAAGCGAGACUCUGUCUAAAAAAAAAAAGCAGGAGUCUUUAGCAGAUUUUGAGGACAGCUUUAUUGCUCUUUCUUGAAAAUAUCCUACUUCUGAUCAGGGAGGCUCACUUUGCUAAGUGCUGAUGGUCCAGCAUGCCUCGAGGGCAUGUGAAGCCAUCUCCAUGGUGAACUGCAAAACAGCUCAUUCUAAUAAGAAGGCACUUGAGAGCUGGCACACAACAUACACCCUAUCUCCCCAAGAUAAAAUGCUUAAGUAUUUAUGAGCUUGCAAUACAGGUGUUAGAUAAUGUCUCCUUACCCUGUGUUAGACAUCACUCAGGCCCAGAGGCAAAUUCCAUUUCUUGAAUUAUUCUACAGUAAACCAGGCUGUCUUUUGAGACAGGGUCUCUCUCUCUCACCCAGGCUGGAGUGCAGUGACACAAUUACAGCUCACUGCAGCCUCGACCUCCUGGACUCAAGAGAUCCUCCCACCUCAGCCUCCUGAGUGGCUGGGACCACAGGUGCAUGCAACUACGCCCAGCUAAUUUUUGUAUUUUUUUGUUGAGACGAGGUCUCACUAUGUUGCUCAGGCUGGUCUCGAACUCCUGGGCUCAAGCGAUCCACCUGCCUUGGCCUUCCAAAGUGCUGGGAUUAUAGGCUUGAACCACCACGCUCAGCCAAACCAGGCUGUCUUAACAUUUCACAAAUUCAAAGUCAAGUCUAGAUUAGGGAUUCCUUCUGCUUCAGUUUCCUCAGAGUGAAUAGUAAUUACAGCCACCCCUCCUUUUUUCUUUAGAAACAGGGUCUCACUGUGUCAUCCAGUGCCCAGGCUGGAAUGCAGUGGCAUGAUCAUAGCUCAUGUAAUUGAAUUCCUGGGCUCAAGUGAUCCCCCUGCCUAGGCCUCCACUUAGGAUUAGAGGUGUGAGCCCUCAUGCCUGGCCUAUAGCCAACUUUACUGACGGCCUUCUCUGAGCCAGGCUCUUUACAGGUAUCUCAUUUACAUGUAUAAAGUGAAUAUUAUUAUACCCAUUUUACAGAUGAGAAACCUAGGCUUAGAAAGAUUGUGUGACUUAGCCACAGCUGCUAAAGCUUCACAGAGGCAAAGGCAGUUGCAUGAGAUCGAGUGUUUGGAUUCUAUAAGCCAGUAAAAUUUCCAACAUUUAUUUUGAGUUCCAUAAAGGAUUGCCUGCUGGGUGUUUAAGUUAUUUACCAACAUCAUGUAAGAAAGGAAACAUGAAGAUUUUAAAGAGGAUGACAGCCUGGGCCCUGUCUCUACAAAAAAUACAGAAAGUAGCUGGGCAUCAUGGUGCACACCUGUAGUCCCAGCUACUUGGGAGGCUGAGGUGGGAGGAUUGGUUGAGUCAGGGAGGUCAAGGCUGCUGUGAGCCAUGAUAGUACCACUGCACUCCAGCUUGGGCAACAGAUAAGAGACCCUGCCUCAAAAUAAAUAAAUAAAUAAAUUUAAAACAUAAAAUAGAAUAAAAUAAAAAUUUAAAAAUGCAGGAUGAACUUAAUCUCAAAAAGGACAUUGUUUUGCAUUUAAUAACUUUAACGAGAGAUCUAUUUUUAUAAAACAUUUCAGGUACAAAAAGAGUAUAGAUAAUGUAAUGGACACCAGCUUGCCAUCCACCCAAUUUAGGAAGUAAAACAUUACAAUGGGAAUUAGAGACCUCGUGGUCCCCUCCGUGACCCCAUUUCCUUCCCUCCCUACUGGUAACCAUUUUCCUAACAUUGCCGUUCCUCACUUCCCAGCAUACUUUCACACAUUCACUACAUACCCAUACAACUCUGCUUUUCUAGCGCGGCCAAUCUCAUCAGUGGACUACGAGGGGCAGUGAGGACCCAGUGGGGAACAGGCUCCCUGAAAACCCUGCACAGAACCCACUGUAUUUGGGAAACACCGCUCUAGACGGGGGCAGGGGAGGGAAGGCCUGACAUUCUAACACCCUCAGUAAGCAAAAAAGACCUUCAAUAUUUAGGUAGGAGUCAGAGUUCCUGCCCUUACUUUAUUACAUCUCUUAAGACGAACUGACAUUUGCAUCAGUCCUUUCUAAGCGUGUUUGCGGGUAAUUUCACGAGAGCGCCCUCUCAUGUGACGCAGUUAGCACGCGCUUGGUUUCUCAACCCGACUGUGACACCUUCAUUACACAGACGGGUCCAAGAGACCCAGAGAGGUCUGGAACUUCUCCAAGUCACACAGCAAGUUGUGGAAGCGGGAUCACCACUCAAAACUCCCAGCCCCGGGCUUCCCGUUCUCCCUCAGCGCCAACCCCGUCGCGUUCAGGGUACAGAGGAAGCCAGCGAGCGCUGUGCUCUAGGGUUUCCACUGGCGGGAACCCAACAAAAUCAUUUUGCUGCUAUUGCCUAUUAUGCAUUCUACCAUUUCCAGCAAAAUGUGAGUCGUAAAAGUAAAACCAGGAUAUUCUAAACUCCAGCAAAGAAAAAACCCAGGAGAGUGGAAAGUUUCUGGAUACUUAUACAAUUGCUCCAAGGCAUGAAAAGCGAGUGUCUCCCCCAGGCGCGCCUCCCACUUUACAGAAGCAAUGGGUUCGAAGUCGGGAAGCUGCCCGGGGCCCGCAGAGCUGCAGUCGGCGGGGCGGGAGGGACCCGGGCCGCAAGCCGCGCGUACCAUGGCGUCCGCGCUUACCAUGGCGUCCGCGCUUACCAUGGCGUCCGCGCUUACCAUGGCGUCCGCGCUUACCAUGGCG
rnacentral:lncRNA from 10 species